rnacentral:rRNA from 1 species
GCGCGAAAACUUUACAAUGCUGGCAACAGCGAUAAGGGAACCUCGAGUGCCAGGUUACAAAUCUGGCUGUCGAGAUGCCUAAAAAGCAUUUCAUAGCAAGGGCCGGGCAAGACCGGUGCCAGCCGCCGCGGUAACACCGGCGGCUCGAGUGGUAACCGUUAUUAUUGGGUCUAAAGGGUCUGUAGCCGGACGGAUAAGUAUCUUGAGAAAUCUGGCAGCUUAACUGUCAGGCUUUCAGGAGAUACUGUCUGGCUCGAGGCCGGGAGAGGUGAGAGGUACUUCAGGGGUAGGGGUGAAAUCUUGUAUUCCUUGGAGGACCACCAGUGGCGAGGGCGUCUCACCAGAACGGACCUCACGGCAAUGUACGAAAGCUAGGGGCACGAACC